AAGUCGUAACAAGGUCUCCGUUGGUGAACCGGCGGAGGGAUCAUUACCGAGUUUACAACUCCCAACCCCUGUGAACAUACCUCAGUUGCUUCGGCGGCGGGUCCCAGCCCGCCUGGAACCAGGCCCCCGCCGAAGGCCAAAACCAUAUCUUCUAUAAGAAUUCUGAAUGAUUUACAAAUAAUCAAAACUUUCAACAACGGAUCUCUUGGUUCUGGCAUCGAUGAAGAACGCAGCGAAAUGCGAUAAGUAAUGUGAAUUGCAGAAUUCAGUGAAUCAUCGAAUCUUUGAACGCACAUUGCGCCCGCCAGCAUUCUGGCGGGCAUGCCUGUUCGAGCGUCAUUUCAACCCUCGCGCCCAUCCGGGCUGCGGUGUUGGCCAGCAGCCCUCGUCUCGUCGAGGGCUGCGGCCCAAAUGUAGUGGCGGUCUCGCUGCAGCUUCCCUUGCGUAGUAACACACCUCGCACCGGAACGCGGCGCGGCCACGCCGUAAAACCCCCGACCCCCUUGAGUUUGACCUCGGAUCAGGUAGGAAUACCCGCUGAACUUAAGCAUAUCAAUAAGCGGAGGAAAAGAAACCAACAGGGAUUGCCCCAGUAACGGCGAGUGAAGCGGCAACAGCUCAAAUUUGAGAUCUGGCCCCCAGGGUCCGAGUUGUAAUUUGUAGAGGAUGCUUUUGGCGCGGCGCCUUCCGAGUUCCCUGGAACGGGACGCCAUAGAGGGUGAGAGCCCCGUCUGGUCGGAUGCCUAGCCUCUGUAAAGCUCCUUCGACGAGUCGAGUAGUUUGGGAAUGCUGCUCUAAAUGGGAGGUAUAUGUCUUCUAAAGCUAAAUAUUGGCCAGAGACCGAUAGCGCACAAGUAGAGUGAUCGAAAGAUGAAAAGCACUUUGAAAAGAGGGUUAAAUAGUACGUGAAAUUGUUGAAAGGGAAGCGUUUAUGACCAGACUUGGGCCCGGUUAAUCAUCCACCGUUCUCGGUGGUGCACUUUGCCGGCCCAGGCCAGCAUCAGUUCGCCUCGGGGGAUAAAGGUUUCGGGAAUGUGGCUCCCUCGGGAGUGUUAUAGCCCGUUGCGUAAUACCCUGUGGCGGACUGAGGUUCGCGCUCCGCAAGGAUGCUGGCGUAAUGGUCAUCAGCGACC
rnacentral:rRNA from 1 species